UACGUAGGUGGCAAGCGUUGUCCGGAUUCACUGGGCGUAAAGCGCGCGCAGGCGGUCUCCUACGUCUGGGGUGAAAACCCGGGGCUCAACCCCGGGACUGCCUUGGAUACGGGAAGACUUGAGGAUCGGAGAGGCAAGGGGAAUUCCACGUGUAGCGGUGAAAUGCUUAGAUAUGACAUAGAACACCAAUUGCGAAGGCAGCUGGCUACACGAAUAUUGACACUCAGGCACGAAAGCGUGGGGAUCAAACAGG
rnacentral:rRNA from 1 species